CCCUUUCCCCCCUUCCCCACCAGGGGGAUGGAUGGACAGGAAAAAAAAAAGAAAAAGAAAAAGGACCCCCAAAAAUGAAAAAUCUGUUCUGAGUUCUUCGAACGCAAAAUUACUCGGUAAAUUUCCAAUUUUCUGUUGUUUACAUGAUACAAUUACCGCUUAAAGUUUGUACUGCACGUAGUGUUUUCCACUAGAUUUUUAAUUUUUGUCAAGUAAUUUUUUUUGGUCUGGAUUGUAACUUCAAUCAUGCAGAGGUUUCAGCAAAUUGAAUCUUGCAGUGAAAAAUUGUUAUUUCUUGAAGGUGUCUACAUUAUGAACAAAUCCUAAUUUUUUUUUUUUUUCCCGAAGUAACAAAUCCUAAACUCUUGUUCACGGACCUUGGAGAUUCCUGCAUACAGUACAGAAAUUUCAUCAAGCGUGGUUGGUUUUAUGCCAACUUUGUAAUUGGUAGAUACUAUAGUGGGGGAUUUGGCCGGGUGCAUAUGUUGGCACUACUUGAAUUCUGAUUGACCCUACUAAAUUCAUGUCAUGCCGAAAGUAUGUAUAUUUUCUUCAGAUGAUCAGAUAAUAGUUGGUCUAAAAUUUAGUUCUUGUACCUCUUGCCACUGAUAUUUCUUGAGAAAAAUUGGCUCAUUUAAUUGGAGCACUAUAUUGAGAAAAUUGAGUUGUGACUACAUCUAAUACCCUUGCUUGAAGGGAUUCUCGCCAAGUUUGGAAAAUUCUUUAUGCCGCCUCAGUUACAUCUGAAGCUGCAUCUCCCACAUAGAGAUGAAACAAUUGAAUGUACAAACAAUGGUUAUGGACUGUAAUCCUACUUAGCUGUGUUCCUCUGCUUUCUAUGGACAAGUUUUGGUUAGUUUCCGAACUGGUAUCUUUUGCAGUACCCUUCCUUUUAUUUGCCUUUGUCCUUAUUCUUGGUGAUUUUACUUGCAGUUUCAUGUAAUCUGCGCUGGAGAGGUCGAGGUGCUCUAGAUUUCCG
rnacentral:lncRNA from 1 species